UGAGGAACAUGACCUUCGGCGGGGGAUAGCCGGCCCAACGGCCGGGUAAUACCGCGUACGACCACUUGGGGACAUCCUCGAGUGGUGAAAGCAGCAAUGCGCCGAUGAAGUGCCUCGCGGCCUAUCAGCUAGUUGGUGUGGUAACGGCUCACCAAGGCGACGACGGGUAGCUGGUCUGAGAGGAUGGCCAGCCACAUUGGGACUGAGACACGGCCCAGCUCCGUAGGGACGG
rnacentral:rRNA from 1 species